rnacentral:rRNA from 1 species
AGCCCCGUACACAAAAAUGCACAUGCUGUGAGCUCGAUGAGUAGGGCGGGACACGUGGUAUCCUGUCUGAAUAUGGGGGGACCAUCCUCCAAGGCUAAAUACUCCUGACUGACCGAUAGUGAACCAGUACCGUGAGGGAAAGGCGAAAAGAACCCCGGCGAGGGGAGUGAAAAAGAACCUGAAACCGUGUACGUACAAGCAGUGGGAGCACGCUUAGGCGUGUGACUGCGUACCUUUUGUAUAAUGGGUCAGCGACUUAUAUUCUGUAGCAAGGUUAACCGAAUAGGGGAGCCGAAGGGAAACCGAGUCUUAACUGGGCGUUAAGUUGCAGGGUAUAGACCCGAAACCCGGUGAUCUAGCCAUGGGCAGGUUGAAGGUUGGGUAACACUAACUGGAGGACCGAACCGACUAAUGUUGAAAAAUUAGCGGAUGACUUGUGGCUGGGGGUGAAAGGCCAAUCAAACCGGGAGAUAGCUGGUUCUCCCCGAAAGCUAUUUAGGUAGCGCCUCGUGAAUUCAUCUCCGGGGGUAGAGCACUGUUUCGGCAAGGGGGUCAUCCCGACUUACCAACCCGAUGCAAACUGCGAAUACCGGAGAAUGUUAUCACGGGAGACACACGGCGGGUGCUAACGUCCGUCGUGAAGAGGGAAACAACCCAGACCGCCAGCUAAGGUCCCAAAGUCAUGGUUAAGUGGGAAACGAUGUGGGAAGGCCCAGACAGCCAGGAUGUUGGCUUAGAAGCAGCCAUCAUUUAAAGAAAGCGUAAUAGCUCACUGGUCGAGUCGGCCUGCGCGGAAGAUGUAACGGGGCUAAACCAUGCAC